GAUUCUUCACUAUAAUAAGUAUAUAAGCAAGUUGGAAGAUGGUGGUAAUCCUAAAUAAAGGAGAGUGAUGCUUAUGAUAGCAUUUACUUUAUUCUUUAGAAAGGAGACACCGCGUAGUGGUUUCAAUUGUAGAAACACUACAUCUUGUGAUUGACUUCGGUAUGUUUAUCUUAGUCUUCAUAGGAUUAGUU
rnacentral:sRNA from 1 species